GUGGCACAGCCGCGGUAAUACGUAGGUGGCAAGCGUUAUCCGGAUUUACUGGGCGUAAAGCGUACGUAGGCGGUCCGACAAGUCUGUUGUGAAAUCUCCUGGCUUAACUGGGAGAGGUCAAUGGAAACUGCCGGACUGGAGGGGCGUAGAGGCGAGCGGAAUUCCCGGUGUAGUGGUGAAAUGCGUAGAUAUCGGGAGGAACACCAGUGGCGAAAGCGGCUCGCUAAGCGCUACCUGACGCUGAGGUACGAAAGCGUGGGGAGCGAACCGGAUUAGAUACCCGGGUAGUCCACGCUGUAAACGAUGGAUGCUAGACGUGGGGGGUAUCGACCCCCUCCGUGUCGUCGCUAACGCAUUAAGCAUCCCGCCUGGGGACUACGGCCGCAAGGCUAAAACUCAAAGGAAUUGACGGGGGCCCGCACAAGCAGCGGAGCGUGUGGUUCAAUUCGAUGCAACGCGAAGAACCUUACCCGGGUUUGACAUACUUAGGAUCGCGGCCGAAAGGUCGCUUCCCUUCGGGGCCUUUGUACAGAUGCUGCACGGCUGUCGUCAGCUCGUGCCGCGAGGUGUUGGGUUAAGUCCCGCAACGAGCGCAACCCCUGUCACUAGUUGUAUUUCUCUAGUGAGACUGCUGUGAACAACACAGAGGAAGGCGGGGAUGACGUCAAGUCAGCGUGGCUCUUACAUCCGGGGCGACACACACGCUACAAUGGCCGGUACAACGGGCAGCGACGUCGCGAGGCGAAGCGAAUCCCUUAAAACCGGUCUCAGUUCGGAUUGCAGGCUGAAACUCGCCUGCAUGAAGUCGGAGUUGCUAGUAAACGCAGGUCAGCCAUACUGCGUUGAAUACGUUCUCGGGCCUUGCACACACUGCCCGUC
rnacentral:rRNA from 1 species